rnacentral:SRP_RNA from 1 species
GCCGGGCGCGGUGGCUCACGCCUGUAAUCCCAGCACUUUGGGAGGCUGAGGCGGGUGGAUCACUUGAGGUCAGGAGUUCGAGACUAGCCUGGCCAACAUGGUGAAACCCUGUCUCUA